rnacentral:rRNA from 1 species
CACGUAGGGGGCAAGCGUUGUCCGGAUUUAUUGGGCGUAAAGAGCUCGUAGGCGGUUCGGUAAGUUGGGUGUGAAACCUCCAGGCUCAACCUGGAGACGCCACCCGAUACUGCUGUGACUAGAGUCCGGUAGGGGAGCGUGGAAUUCCUGGUGUAGCGGUGAAAUGCGCAGAUAUCAGGAGGAACACUAGCGGCGAAGGCGGCGCUCUGGGCCGGAACUGACGCUGAGGAGCGAAAGCGUGGGUAGCAAACAGG